GAGAACCAAAUGGCCAUUUGAGCAAAUUAUGACCAUUUGCAAUGAAUACUAAGUGGACAUGAUCAUGUCCCUCACACAACCUCCACAGUUGUACCAAACCUAUGAUUAAUGGCCAUAGAUGGAAGAAAAUUUACAAAUGUAGGAAGGAUGAAAAACAAACGAACAACCAUAAUGCACGAUAAGCAACAACAAUAAUAUUAUAUCCACCGCGGGGAUUUGGUGUAUGCAGACCUUAUCCCUACCUAGUGAAAGUAAGACUGUUUUCGAAUGAGGGAUGCAACAGGACAUCCGAGGAUCAGCCAUCCUAGUAUACUCUCGCCCAAACACGCUUAACUUUGGAGGUCUGAUGGAUAUACAAGAUAAACAUCUCUUGAACUUGUACAUUAAAAAGGAAGACAAACAAUUUAUUCCUUGGCUCCAAAAAGUAUCUCCAGCAAUGAAGAGUAGGUUCCAUAGACUGAAAAAACAGCAGCCACUACAAUAAUUGCACCAUCACAAGCCAAACCAUGCCAUCUUAGCUCAUCUUUGAACACAAUCAGAUGAAACAAGGCAGGCAACACAAAGCCAAGAAUUAUGCACACACUACUCCCAACCAAUGACAAGAAAUCAGCAAAAUUUGGCACAAACAAUGCCACAAACGUCACUACCAAAACCAUAAUCCAUCUUAUCCAAACACAGUAACUCCCUUCA
rnacentral:misc_RNA from 1 species